AUGUCCAUGGCUCAUCAGGCGGCGGCGGGCGGCAGCGACACGAGGCUGCGAACGUGUUCGUGGAUGUCCUGGCGUGGAAGACGAGCAAGGAGGGUGUGCGCGGCCACUUCGAGCGCUUCGGCGAGAUCCGCGAGGCCGUCAUCAUCGCCGACAAGGGCACCAGCAGAUCCAAUGGCGGCGGAUUCGUUACGUUCUGGGAGGCUGAGGCGCCAUUGGGGUUUGCUUGGGAACGUACAGUUAGGCCAACAUCAGAAGAUUCGUAGCCUUUUUGAGGAGAUGAAGGUGGAGAAUAUUAAGCCGGAUAACCUCACAUGCUGCCUUCUAAUGAUCAGCCGUGCGGCAUUGAACAAGAUAGAUGUUGGAGAAGUUUUAAAAGAAAUGCAAGAAAAUGAUGUAGUUCCAGGGUGGUCUGCAUAUAGCAUGGCUUCUAUCUACCUGAGUGCUGGUUUGGUUUAA
rnacentral:rRNA from 1 species